rnacentral:rRNA from 1 species
AGAACGAACGCUGGCGGCAUGCCUAAUACAUGCAAGUCGAACGAACUCUUCGGAGUUAGUGGCGCACGGGUGCGUAACGCGUGGGAAUCUGCCCCUUGGUUCGGAAUAACAGUUGGAAACGACUGCUAAUACCGGAUGAUGACGAAAGUCCAAAGAUUUAUCGCCAAGGGAUGAGCCCGCGUAGGAUUAGCUAGUUGGUGAGGUAAAGGCUCACCAAGGCAACGAUCCUUAGCUGGUCUGAGAGGAUGAUCAGCCACACUGGGACUGAGACACGGCCCAGACUCCUACGGGAGGCAGCAGUAGGGAAUAUUGGACAAAGUGGGCGAAAGCCUGAUCCAGCAAUGCCGCGUGAGUGAUGAAGGCCUUAGGUUGUAAGCUCUUUUACCGAGAUGAUAAUGACAGUAUCGGAGAACUAAGCCCCGGCUAACGUCCGUGCCAGCACGCCGACGU